UUAUAUGUACAUAAAAACCUAGUUUAAUUAAAAAAAAAAUAAAAGAAAAAAUAGAGAGAAGAGGAAAGUUGUUGAUAGUUAUUUUUAUUUUCUUAAGAAUUAAAAGAUUCUUAACUUCCAUGAUAAGAAUGUAAGAUGAUAAAAGUAUCAGUAAAAAAAUAAAAUGUCUAUGGAAAAAAAUGGACUCGCUCACUUGUGUUUUGAUGUUUUAUGGAAAAAUAAUA
rnacentral:lncRNA from 1 species